AUUGUACUGUACCCAUGUGAUGAAGUAAAAGGAAACAAAACCUAGUAGUAGUAUCUUCAAAAGUUAAAGAAAAACCUGUUGUAACUUGUAUAACUUACAUAAGUCUUUGCAAGAAGAUGUUUGAAAAUCUAAAAAGAACAAAAAAAAGGGUGAGAACUAUUUUUGAAGGGACUGAUGAUCAUUGGAAACAAAAAAAUGUUUUCCAUCUCUUUUUUUUUCUUAAACCUGUUGUAACUUGUAUAACUUACAUAAGUCUUUGCAAGAAGAUGUUUGAAAAUCUAAAAAGAACAAAAAAAAGGGUGAGAACUAUUUUUGAAGGGACUGAUGAUCAUUGGAAACAAAAAAAUGUUUUCCAUCUCUUUUUUUUUCUUCCAUACAUAUAAAAACACAUUUUAUG
rnacentral:lncRNA from 1 species